UACGAAAGGGGCUAGCGUUGUUCGGAAUUACUGGGCGUAAAGCGCACGUAGGCGGCCUUGUAAGUUGGGGGUGAAAUCCCGGGGCUCAACUCCGGAACUGCCUUCAAGACUGCAAAGCUAGAGGACGCGAGAGGUUAGCGGAAUUCCGAGUGUAGAGGUGAAAUUCGUAGAUAUUCGGAAGAACACCAGUGGCGAAGGCGGCUAACUGGCGCGUUUCUGACGCUGAGGUGCGAAAGCAUGGGGAGCAAACAGG
rnacentral:rRNA from 1 species